rnacentral:misc_RNA from 1 species
CCAAUAGCGUAUAUUAAAGUUGUUGCAGUUAAAAAGCUCGUAGUUGAAUUUCGGGAUUGACGUGAUGGUCAUGCCUUAAGGGGUAUGAACUGUUACAGUUGAUUUCUCACCUUCUGGAGAAACUCGAUGUCCUUUAUUGGGUGUCUUGCGGAUCCAGGACCUUUACCUUGAAAAAAUUAGAGUGUUUAAAGCAGGCAUUUUUGCUCGAAUACAUUAGCAUGGAAUAAUAGAAUAGGACGGCAUGGUUCUAUUUUGUUGGUUUCUAGGAUCACCGUAAUGAUUAAUAGGGAUAGUUGGGGGCAUUAGUAUUCAAUUGUCAGAGGUGAAAUUCUUGGAUUUAUUGAAGACUAACUACUGCGAAAGCAUUUGCCAAGGAUGUUUUCAUUAAUCAAGAACGAAAGUUAGGGGAUCGAAGACGAUCAGAUACCGUCGUAGUCUUAACCAUAAACUAUGCCGACUAGGAAUCAGACGAUGUUAAUUUUUUAAUGACUCGUUUGGCACCUUACG